AGGACGAACGCUGGCGGCGCGCCUAACACAUGCAAGUCGAGCGAGGACCAGGACUUCGGUCCUGGGGAAAGCGGCGAACGGGUGCGUAACACGUGAGCAACCUGCCCCGAAGACCGGGACAAGCCGGGGAAACCUGGUCUAAUACCGGAUGUCCUCACCGGAUCGCAUGGUCUGGUGAGGAAAUGGAUUCCGCUUCGGGAUGGGCUCGCGGUCUAUCAGCUUGUUGGUGGGGUAACGGCCUACCAAGGCAACGACGGAUAGCUGGUCUGAGAGGACGAUCAGCCACACUGGGACUGAGACACGGCCCAGACUCCUACGGGAGGCAGCAGUGGGGAAUCUUGCGCAAUGGGGGAAACCCUGACGCAGCGACGCCGCGUGCGGGAUGAAGGCCUUCGGGUUGUAAACCGCUUUCAGCAGGGACGAAAUUGACGGUACCUGCAGAAGAAGGCCCGGCCAACUACGUGCCAGCAGCCGC
rnacentral:rRNA from 1 species